rfam:Penicillium solitum strain IBT 29525 PENSOL_contig039, whole genome shotgun sequence.
GCAAGUGUGGCCGAGUGGUUAAGGCGUCGUGUUUAGGUCGUCAUUCAUAUGAUUACAAAACCGCGAUUCUCCGGAGCGUGAGUUCGAAUCUCACCGCUUGCA